GAUGAACGCUGGCGGCGUGCCUAAUACAUGCAAGUCGAGCGAACGGACGAGAAGCUUGCUUCUCUGAUGUUAGCGGCGGACGGGUGAGUAACACGUGGAUAACCUACCUAUAAGACUGGGAUAACUUCGGGAAACCGGAGCUAAUACCGGAUGAUAUUUUGAACCGCAUGGUUCAAAAGUGAAAGACGGUCUUGCUGUCACUUAUAGAUGGAUCCGCGCUGCAUUAGCUAGUUGGUAAGGUAACGGCUUACCAAGGCAACGAUGCAUGGCCGACCUGAGAGGGUGAUCGGCCACACUGGAACUGAGACACGGUCCAGACUCCUACGGGAGGCAGCAGUAGGGAAUCUUCCGCAAAGGGCGAAAGCCUGACGGAGCAACGCCGCGUGAGUGAUGAAGGUCUUCGGAUCGUAAAACUCUGUUAUUAGGGAAGAACAUAUGUGUAAGUAACUGUGCACAUCUUGACGGUACCUAAUCAGAAAGCCACGGCUAACUACGUG
rnacentral:rRNA from 1 species